rnacentral:rRNA from 1 species
CCUACGGGUGGCAGCAGUGGGGAAUCUUCCGCAAUGGGCGCAAGCCUGACGGAGCAACGCCGCGUGAGUGAAGAAGGUCUUCGGAUCGUAAAGCUCUGUUGAUGGGGACGAACGUGCCUAAUGCGAAUAGUUUUAGGUAAUGACGGUACCCAUCGAGGAAGCCACGGCUAACUACGUGCCAGCAGCCGCGGUAAUACGUAGGUGGCGAGCGUUGUCCGGAAUCAUUGGGCGUAAAGGGAGCGCAGGCGGGCAUGUAAGUCUUUCUUAAAAGUGCGGGGCUCAACCCCGUGAUGGGAAAGAAACUAUAUGUCUUGAGUACAGGAGAGGAAAGCGGAAUUCCCAGUGUAGCGGUGAAAUGCGUAGAUAUUGGGAGGAACACCAGUGGCGAAGGCGGCUUUCUGGACUGCAACUGACGCUGAGGCUCGAAAGCCAGGGGAGCGAACGGGAUUAGAUACCCUUGUAGUC